rnacentral:lncRNA from 1 species
AGAUAUGUCAUCUUCAAGUUCAGAAGGACGAGCAAUACGAUCUUCAAUCUCCUUAGCUAGUGAAAGUGGUACUUCCUCACUAGCAAUGUUAUCCCUACUAAGUGUGCCAAUAUUAUCAUCUUUAUCUAAUGGUUGAUUGAUAUGUCCAACAUCUACACCCUCUUCUUGAUAGGCUUUCUCAAUCUGUGUGUUGUCAUCAUUUAUGUCAUCCCCAC